rnacentral:misc_RNA from 1 species
AGCAGCCGCGGUAAUUCCAGCUCCAAUAGCGUAUAUUAAAGUUGCUGCAGUUAAAAGCUCGUAGUUGAAUUUCGGGAUCAAUAUGUUGGUCGUGCCUCGGUACGUACUAGCUUAUUGGUUUCUCCCUUCUGACGAACCAUGAUGUCAUUUAUUUGGUGUUAUGGGAAAUCAGGACUGUUACUUUGAAAAAUUAGAGUGUUUAAAGCAGGCUCACGCUUGAAUACAUUAGCAUGGAAUAAUGAAAUAGGACGUUUGAUUCUAUUUUGUUGGUUUCUAGGAUCGACGUAAUGAUUAAUAGGGAUAGUUGGGGGCAUUAGUAUUCAAUUGUCAGAGGUGAAAUUCUUGGAUUUAUUGAAGACUAACUACUGCGAAAGCAUUUGCCAAGGAUGUUUUCAUUAAUCAAGAACGAAAGUUAGGGAUCGAAGACGAUCAGAUACCGUCGUAGUCUUAACCAUAAACUAUGCCGACUAGGGAUCGGAUGAUGUUUAAUUUUUAAUGUACUCAUUCGGUCCG